UGAUAACCCAUUUUCCUGAAAAUUCAAUUAAUCAAAUUCAGCUCAAAAACUAAUAAACGCUAUCACAGUGACUCCUCCCACUUCUGGCGGCACUUCACGUGGUUAUCAAUCUCUUUUCA
ensembl:ncRNA F28F5.11 ncRNA